GUAUAUUUGACAAGGGAAAGAAAAAGGUUAUACUUGACAUGGGAAAGAAAAAGCGUAUAUUUGACAAGGGAAAGAAAAAGGUUAUAUUUGACAAGGGAAAGAAAAAGGUUAUAUUUGACAAGGGCAAGAGAAAGUUAUAUUUGACAAGAGAAAGGAAAGGGUAUAUUUGACAUGGGAAAGAAAAAGGUUAUAUUUGACAAGGGAAAGAAAAAGGGUAUACUUGACAUGGGAAAGAAAAAGCGUAUAUUUGACAAGGGAAAGAAAAAGGUUAUACUUGACAUGGGAAAGAAAAAGGUUAUACUUGACAUGGGAAAGAAAAAGGGUAUAUUUGACAAGGGAAAGAAAAAGGUUAUAUUUGACAAGGGCAAGAGAAAGUUAUAUUUGACAAGAGAAAGGAAAGGGUAUAUUUGACAUGGGAAAGAAAAAGGGUAUAUUUGACAAGGGAAAGAAUAAGGGUAUACUUGACAUGGAAAAGAAAAAGGGAAUAUUUGACAAGGGAAAGAAAAAGGGAAUAUUUGACAAGGGAAAGAAAAAGGGAAUAUUUGACAAGGGAAAGGAAAAGGGUAUAUUUGACAAGGGAAAGAAAAGGGUAUAUUUGACAAGGGAAAGAAAAGGGCAUAUUUGACAUGGGAAAGAAAAGGUUAUAUUUGACAAGAGAAAGGAAAGGGUAUAUUUGACAAGGGAGAGAAAAGGGCAUAUUUGACAAGGGAAAGAAAAAUGGGUAUACUUGAAAAGGGCAAGAAUAGGGUAAAUGUGACAAGGGAAAGGAUAUAUUUGACAAGGGAAAGAAAAAAGGGUAUACUUGACAAGGGAAAUGAAAAGGGUAAAUUUGACAAGGGAAAUGAUAAGGGUAUAUUUGACAAGGGAAAGAAAAAGGGUAUACUUGACAAGGGAAAGAAAAAGGGUAUCUACUAAAUGCCAUAGAUGAGGAUUCCAACGUCUUUCAGUGCAUGUUUGUGGAUGUUAAUAUUUCUGUACGUGAAAGGAAAUGGAAAGCAGAUGAGUGACGCAGAAGUACUAUCUCAGGGCACACCAUUACGAGGAUGAGGAAGAGGAAAUUCAUGUUAUAGCUAGCAAGGGAA